UCUCUGGUAGCUCAGUGGUGAAGUGUCCGAUCGGUGUGCAGAAGGUCAUAGGUUCGACUCCUGUCGAGGGAA